rnacentral:lncRNA from 1 species
AAAAAUAUCUUUUUCAAAUGUUUACAGGCAGCCGAAAGACGUAUUGUCGCAAAGUCGCGGUCACGAUAAACAAGGGUGAAAAGUCAGUGUUUACCGUGGGCUAAAUAUAGUUCACAUGAAUUCAGGUCACUGAUUGGUUGUCUAUUUAAAGUCAGAAUGCAUCGUUUCUUUUCAAAGAUAACAAGAGAGACGUUCCGGUGGUCAUUAAACGAUACAAUAGAGACGUUCCGAUGGGCAUUAACUCGUUGGCUUUUUUUUUUGGCUUUUAAAACGUGAAGACAAUCAGAAAGGAUGACAAUCUUAUGUUAUGGAAUAAUAUCAGUCAAAUUAAAGAAAGUGUAGUAGAUCAUAUUGUUCAGAAUCUGGAAAACAGUAUCUUUUGAAGUUCAUUUUUCAAAGCCCACGUGGUGUUCAGAGAAUCAAGGUCAAAAACGAAAGUAGAAUAUUGUCGACUCGACCUCAAAUAAAUAACAUUUCCAAAUGAUUUAUGUAUCAGACUUAUUGAACAGUUUACAAAAAAAAAAGAAAAUCAGAGGAUAUAUCAAUUUUCUGUCAAUGCUUGAGAAAUAAUUGUAUGAUUUAAAUACGCGUUACAGUCUUUAGAGAGAAGAGGGGGGUCAUUUGUUUACAAAUGCACGUAGUUAUGCAAAAUAAAUCGAUCAAGAUUUAUAACAAACCGGAUUAUUAUAUAGAUAAAAC